AUUCCUACGGGAGGCAGCAGUGAGGAAUAUUGGUCAAUGGGCGGAAGCCUGAACCAGCCAUCCCGCGUGCAGGAUGACAGCCCUAUGGGUUGUAAACUGCUUUUCUACGCCAAGAAACCUGGUUACGCGUAACCAGUUGCCGGUAGCGUAGGAAUAAGCAUCGGCUAACUCCGUGCCAGCAGCCGCGGUAAUACGGAGGAUGCAAGCGUUAUCCGGAUUCAUUGGGUUUAAAGGGUGCGCAGGCGGGGAUGUAAGUCAGUGGUGAAAUACUGCCGCUUAACGGUAGGGUUGCCAUUGAUACUGCAUUUCUUGAGUUUGGGUGAGGCAGGCGGAAUGUGCAGUGUAGCGGUGAAAUGCAUAGAUAUUGCACAGAACACCGAUUGCGAAGGCAGCUUGCUAACCCAUUACUGACGCUGAGGCACGAAAGCGUGGGGAGCGAAUAGGAUUAGAUACCCUGGUAGUCCACGCCGUAAACGAUGUUCACUCGCUGUUUGCGAUACACAGCAAGCGGCUUAGCAAAAGCAUUAAGUGAACCACCUGGGGAGUACGAUCGCAAGGUUGAAACUCAAAGGAAUUGACGGAAU
rnacentral:rRNA from 1 species